GCACAAGACAGGAAUGGUGGAACUGUAACUGUUAGAGCAACAGGAAAAAUCAGUGACAUCGUUACAAUCAAUCAAACACAGAGUGAUUCCUGGGCAGUUUUUCUGAAAAAGAAGCUAGAUAGAGAGACACAUUCACAAUAUCUGUUAAGAUUCAUUGCAAUUAGCAGCGAAGAGGAUGCUCCUUCGUCCGCCUUAGAUGUAACCCUUUUUGUGAAUGACGUAAAUGAUGAACCUCC